rnacentral:rRNA from 1 species
UAGGGAAUCUUCCGCAAUGGGCGAAAGCCUGACGGAGCAACGCCGCGUGAGUGAUGAAGGUCUUCGGAUCGUAAAACUCUGUUAUUAGGGAAGAACAUAUGUGUAAGUAACUGUGCACAUCUUGACGGUACCUAAUCAGAAAGCCACGGCUAACUACGUGCCAGCAGCCGCGGUAAUACGUAGGUGGCAAGCGUUAUCCGGAAUUAUUGGGCGUAAAGCGCGCGUAGGCGGUUUUUUAAGUCUGAUGUGAAAGCCCACGGCUCAACCGUGGAGGGUCAUUGGAAACUGGAAAACUUGAGUGCAGAAGAGGAAAGUGGAAUUCCAUGUGUAGCGGUGAAAUGCGCAGAGAUAUGGAGGAACACCAGUGGCGAAGGCGACUUUCUGGUCUGUAACUGACGCUGAUGUGCGAAAGCGUGGGGAUCAAACAGGAUUAGAUACCCUGGUAGUCCACGCCGUAACGAUGAGUGCUAAGUGUUAGGGGGUUUCCGCCCCUUAGUGCUGCAGCUAACGCAUUAAGCACUCCGCCUGGGGAGUACGACCGCAAGGUU